rnacentral:rRNA from 1 species
UACGGAGGGGGCGAGCGUUAUUCGGAAUUAUUGGGCGUAAAGGGCGCGUAGGCGGCUUGAUGUGUCAAAGGUGAAAUCCCUCGGCUCAACUGAGGAACUGCCUUUGAAACUGUCUGGCUUGAGGCCGGGAGAGGGUAGCGGAAUUCCCAGUGUAGCGGUGAAAUGCGUAGAUACUGGGAGGAACACCGGUGGCGAAGGCGGCUACCUGGACCGGUUCUGACGCUGAUGCGCGAAAGCGUGGGUAGCAAGCAGG